rnacentral:tRNA from 1 species
GCCGAUUUAGCUUAGCUGGUGGAGCGUGGGACUGUUAAUCCCAAGGUCAUGGGUUCGAACCCCAUAAUCGGCGCCA